GACGAACGCUGGCGGCGUGCCUAAUACAUGCAGGUAGAACGCACAGUUUAUACCGUAGCUUGCUACACCAUAGACUGUGAGUUGCGAACGGGUGAGUAACGCGUAGGUAACCUGCCUGGUAGCGGGGGAUAACUAUUGGAAACGAUAGCUAAUACCGCAUAAUAUUAAUUAUUGCAUGAUAAUUAAUUGAAAGGUGCAAUUGCACCACUACCAGAUGGACCUGCGUUGUAUUAGCUAGUAGGUGAGGUAACGGCUCACCUAGGCGACGAUACAUAGCCGACCGGGGGGGGUGAUCGGCCACCCGGGAACUGGAAACCGGCCCAGACUCCUACGGGAGGCAGCAGUAGGGAAUAUUCGGAAAUGGACGAAAGUCUGACCGAGCAAUGCCGCGUGGGUGAAGAAGGUUUUCGGAUUGUAAAGCCCUUUUGUAAGGAAAGAAAGGGGGGGGGUGGGGAAAGUUCCCAUUGGAAGGGAAUCUAACAAAAAAGGGCCGGCUAACUCGGU
rnacentral:rRNA from 1 species